GAUGAACGCUGGCGGCGUGCCUAAUACAUGCAAGUCGAGCGAACGGACGAGAAGCUUGCUUCUCUGAUGUUAGCGGCGGACGGGUGAGUAACACGUGGAUAACCUACCUAUAAGACUGGGAUAACUUCGGGAAACCGGAGCUAAUACCGGAUAAUAUUUUGAACCGCAUGGUUCAAAAGUGAAAGACGGUCUUGCUGUCACUUAUAGAUGGAUCCGCGCUGCAUUAGCUAGUUGGUAAGGUAACGGCUUACCAAGGCAACGAUGCAUAGCCGACCUGAGAGGGUGAUCGGCCACACUGGAACUGAGACACGGUCCAGACUCCUACGGGAGGCAGCAGUAGGGAAUCUUCCGCAAAGGGCGAAAGCCUGACGGAGCAACGCCGCGUGAGUGAUGAAGGUCUUCGGAUCGUAAAACUCUGUUAUUAGGGAAGAACAUAUGUGUAAGUAACUGUGCACAUCUUGACGGUACCUAAUCAGAAAGCCCCGGCUAGCUACGUG
rnacentral:rRNA from 1 species